UAGGCUACUUAGCUACUACCGGUUCGCUUUCGUUAGAGUGACGACGACAGAUACGGGUUAACAUCGACGAAGAGACAACGGUUUCUUCAAACCAACACAAUUGAGCAUUUUUGAGUUUUAUUCGAAAGAUAUCGUCGCGUUUACGUUUUUAAAGGCGACUUUUCAGAUAUAUUGUAUAUUUUAAAGUCACCAGGACCAAAGGUUUCAAGUUAACGUUACAGUCGACGCUUGUGACAAAAAAAACAAUGGCCAAGGGAGAAGACUCGCACUCUGAAAUGGCCGACGUUCGUCAGAGAGAUGGCAUCAAUGUAAUCUUUGACCAGAACAGCCCUGCCUCAUCUCGCUCCCGCUCACCAGCCAGAAGCAGCGGUGGCGGCAGACGCUCUGUCGGCUCUGGUCGCCACAGGGGACGUGGCACCCACGGGCGACGUUACAGGUCUUCAUCAUCGUCAUCAUCCAGCAGCAGGUCCUCCUCUCACACCAGGUCCCGCUCUCACCCUCGUUGCCACAGACCUUCCUCCCGCUGUCGCUGUGACAACCAUCGCAGAAAUGGCCGUGAGCGCCAGCCCCGCUCCAGGCCUUCCAGCCGCAGGUACAGGAGGUCUGUGAGUCGGUUUUCCCAAUCCCCACCCAGAACCCACAAAAGCGGCUCAAGGUCCGGAUCUUCAGAGCAUUCUGUCAACUUAAAUUUGGAUGAUAAAGAAGAACUCCUCAAAACUGUAAAGGCCAAUGCUACGACGAUUCUAGGAGUGGAGAAGCUGGAAGUUCCCGAGAGGAUCCUAGAAGUGGAGAAGCUGGAACUUUCUGAUUGUGUGAAACCAAUCCUGUCAGAGCAGUCGGUGGAGUUCAAAUGGGUGUCGUCAGAUACAUGGGUGAGACAAGACCCUGAAAAGACUCUGUCACAGAAUCCUCCACUCGCUGAUGGAGCACAGGCGUGUGGACUGCAUUAUAGUGACUAUCCCUGUCGAGAGCUAAAAACAGACGAAGAACUCCUCUCCAUAUGCCAAAGAUAAGUUGGUUCACCAGCCGCGUGCUGAGGGCUGGGAAACCUACGUCACCAUCAUUCUGCCACUGUAGACAGAAAAGACAAACCUUUACUCUUUUUUUUGUUUUUUGUUUGCAUUUUAUUCUGUUUCAAGGUCUGUCCUUGUAAGAUUCAUUAAAUGGUCGAGCCAGGCUUUUGAUGGCAGUGGGACGGGGGUGUUAAGUGUUGAAGCUAACACUUAAAUAAUUAACAAUGCAAUAGAAGUUGUUUUAUUUAUAUUUUUUUAUAUUAUUUUUUACAAUAUUAACAAUGGGAACUAUAAACCAUCUAUAUGAACAUAAACUGUCAAAGCUCACCCUACCAUCAGUUUUACACACGUGUCUAACUAGGUCUGUUUUUCUUGUCUCUUUUUAACAGAGCAAUGAGGGGGAGUCUGAUGUGUCCAGCCCAACGAUGUCCCCAAAAAUGAAAAUCUCUUUCAGCCUUCAUAAUUCUGUGGUCAAACAAACAGUGGCAGCUUCAUCUUGUGCUAAGGUAACUUCCAGAAUGGACAUCUAUGAAAGCAGGAAGCCCUAUGGUCACUGGGUUCCAGUCCAAUCAGGCAAAACCUCCAAAGCACGCAAACACAGACCUGCCACGUCACACUAGAGUGGCAGAGAGUACAUGGACACUGUAAAUAUUUUGUACAUAUAUUUUACCAUUUCAUGGUCAACAUUUUCUUUCAGAUGUUAAAAGUUAAGUGGGAAGAAGUGGAGAUUUCAUUCAGGUGGGAUUGUUUUUCCUUUUGUUGUAUAGUGUGCUGGUUAUGAUUGAAAUAAAGAUUUAUUUGAUA